AGCCUCACUUCCCUCUUAGGCGGAGAGAAGGAUGCGGGGAAGCUUGGUAAAAACAGAAUUAAAGGGAAUGGGUGUCGGAAGCGGAGGGUCUGAAGUUCACGACUCGUAGAAGGGGAGGGGAAUUGAAAGGCUCUCAGUGAAGAAGGUCCAGAACCCUCCAGAUCAACUUGUCAAUAAGUUCAAUGUGUAAGACAGACCAAUAUGAUUGAAAUGAGAACAAAUGAGAGUUAUUCCAGCUUGCCGGCAGUACUUACCUCCAUUCCCACCCUCCCCAAAGGGUGAACUUUGAAAACCAUUGGAAAAACUCACUCCCACAUAAAUGUCAUGAAAAGCCCCAUUGGUAAUAUGCUACAUUAAAAUGUUUACAUAUCUCAA